rnacentral:rRNA from 1 species
ACUGAAUAGAUACCCUGGUAGUCCACGCCGUAAACGAUGGAUACUAGCUGUUCGGAGCAAAUCUGAGUGGCUAAAGCGAAAGUGAUAAGUAUCCCACCUGGGGAGUACGCACGCAAGUGUGAAACUCAAAGGAAUUGACGGGGGCCCGCACAAGCGGUGGAGCAUGUGGUUUAAUUCGAUGAUACGCGAGGAACCUUACCAGGGCUUAAAUGUAGAUUGACAGGACUGGAAACAGUUUUUCUUCGGACAAUUUACAAGGUGCUGCAUGGUUGUCGUCAGCUCGUGCCGUGAGGUGUCAGGUUAAGUCCUAUAACGAGCGCAACCCUGUCGUUAGUUGCCAGCGAGUCAUGUCGGGAACUCUAACGAGACUGCCAGUGUAAACUGUGAGGAAGGUGGGGAUGACGUCAAAUCAUCACGGCCCUUACGUCCUGGGCCACACACGUGCUACAAUGGUAGGUACAGAGAGCAGCCACUGCGCGAGCAGGAGCGAAUCUACAAAACCUAUCUCAGUUCGGAUCGGA